ACGCUCGACACCUACGGGAUGCAGCAGUGGGGAAUAUUGCACAAUGGGGGAAACCCUGAUGCAGCGACGCCGCGUGAGCGAAGAAGUAUCUCGGUAUGUAAAGCUCUAUCAGCAGGGAAGAAAAUGACGGUACCUGACUAAGAAGCCCCGGCUAACUACGUGCCAGCAGCCGGGUAAUCUGAGCGGGCUGGCAAGGC
rnacentral:rRNA from 1 species